rnacentral:rRNA from 1 species
UACGGAGGGUGCAAGCGUUAUCCGGAUUCACUGGGUUUAAAGGGUGUGUAGGCGGGUAAGUAAGUCCGUGGUGAAAUCUCUGAGCUUAACUCAGAAACUGCCGUGGAUACUAUUUGCCUUGAAUAUUGUGGAGGUGAGCGGAAUAUGUCAUGUAGCGGUGAAAUGCUUAGAUAUGACAUAGAACACCAAUUGCGAAGGCAGCUCACUACACAAUCAUUGACGCUGAGGCACGAAAGCGUGGGGAUCAAACAGG